CCUCCUUUCAGGCAGCACAACGACUAGUACAUUGUCAACCUGAAGACCAGAAAAUAUUAACCAUACAUUUUGCCAAAAAGGUUUCCAAUUUCACAAAGGAUAACUUAAACAUGAACAUGAAUGGAAAUACAUUAGUCCAACACCAGCUUAAAAGUAGAAUAUGAUUACCAAAUUCAAACCUAGAUUCAGAAAGUAAUAGUCGUCAC
rnacentral:lncRNA from 1 species